GUCUUGCCUCACGUCCAGAUGAAACAAAAAAAAUAUUCUCCUUUAUCAUUGGUGGAAAAACACAUGACGUAAACCAAUCAAAACACUGAUUCCACGUGGAUUGAUCAGCGGCCCCACGUGGGGUUGUUGUUGAG